rnacentral:rRNA from 1 species
CCCCUAGAUGUUCUGGACCGCACGCGCGCUACACUGAACAGUUCAACAAGUCUUAACCUUGGCCGAUAGGUCUGGGUAAUCUUUGAACGCUGUUCGUGAUUGGGAUAGACCUUUGCAAUUAUGGGUCUUCAACGAGGAAUUCCUAGUAAACGCAAGUCAUCAGCUUGCAUUGAUUACGUCCCUGCCCUUUGUACACACCGCCCGUCGCACCUACCGAUUGAAUGGUCCGGUGAAAUCUCGGGACGGCGGCUUGGUCGCUUGCGUCCGACUGCUGAAACUUGAUUAAACCAUAUCAUUUAGAGGAAGGUGAANUCGUANCA